UCCUAUUCUGCCAAAACCUUUUUGUUGAUAUGCAAUUUUGCUUAUGAACUCAGACUUUUGGUUUUCCAUUCUUGUUAGGUUUUCUCUAAAUUCUUGUUUCUCUUUCUCAAGUUGUAACUACAAUUGGUUUUUCUCAGCAUGUAAUGAAUCUAAUUCCAAUUUCAGAUUGUUAGCCUGCGUGGUUAACUCCAGUUUUAGAUUAUUAGUCUGCGUAGUUAAGGUCAUUAUCUAAGCAUAAGCUUCAUUCCUCCUUCUUCAUAUCUCUCCUAGAGAGCAAAAGAACUUUAGCCCUCUCUUAUUUAAUGUUCUUUCAAAAUAAAAAAUUUUAUUACGUAACCCUACUAUGUCCAUUUCUAGCUGUCCAUUCUCCUUGUUUUCAGUUCUUAUUUGCUCUUGAAGAUUAGCUCUUUGGUUUUAUAAAGUCUCUACCUACAAUUCCAGAUAUUUCAUUUGUGCUGUCAAACUUUCUCUCUCUUUAAGAAUUCUCCGACAAUCUUCAGUUUUGUGUGCUAUCUCC
rnacentral:lncRNA from 1 species